rnacentral:rRNA from 1 species
GCAAGUCGAACGAGGUCCAUGGAGCUUGCUCCGGAAGACCUAGUGGCGAACGGGUGCGUAACACGUGAGGAACCUGCCCCGAUCUCUGGAAUAACAGUUGGAAACGACUGCUAAUACCGCAUGCCAUCAAACCGCGUCAUGGAGGAGUGAUGAAAGAUUUAUCGGAUUGGGAGGGUCUUGCGGCAUAUCAGCUAGUUGGAGAGGUAACGGCUCACCAAGGCAUCGACGUGUAGCUGUUCUGAGAGGAUGAUC